rnacentral:rRNA from 1 species
AGAUUGAACGCUGGCGGCAGGCCUAACACAUGCAAGUCGAGCGGUAGAGAGGUGCUUGCAUCUCUUGAGAGCGGCGGACGGGUGAGUAAUGCCUAGGAAUCUGCCUAGUGGUGGGGGAUAACGUUCGGAAACGGACGCUAAUACCGCGUACGUCCUACGGGAGAAAGCGGGGGACCUUCGGGCCUCGCGCCAUUAGAUGAGCCUAGGUCGGAUUAGCUAGUUGGUGAGGUAAUGGCUCACCAAGGCGACGAUCCGUAACUGGUCUGAGAGGAUGAUCAGUCACACUGGAACUGAGACACGGUCCAGACUCCUACGGGAGCAGCAGUGGGGAAUA